AGCAGCCGCGGUAAUUCCAGCUCCAAUAGCGUAUAUUAAAGUUGUUGCAGUUAAAAAGCUCGUAGUUGAAUUUCGGGAUUUGUCGGUUGGUCGGGCUUCACUGUCCGCACUGACCUGAUGGAUUCCUACCUUCUGAAUAACCAGCAUGCUAUUAAUUUAGUGCGUUGGGGAAGCAGAGCUAUUACCUUGAAAAAAUUAGAGUGCUUAAAGCAGGCUUGUGCUUGAAUAGAUUAGCAUGGAAUAAUAAAAUAGGACGGCAUGGUUCUAUUUUGUUGGUUUCUAGGAUCACCGUAAUGAUUAAUAGGGAUAGUUGGGGGCAUUAGUAUUCAAUUGUCAGAGGUGAAAUUCUUGGAUUUAUUGAAGACUAACUUCUGCGAAAGCAUUUGCCAAGGAUGUUUUCAUUAAUCAAGAACGAAAGUUAGGGGAUCGAAGACGAUCAGAUACCGUCGUAGUCUUAACCAUAAACUAUGCCGACUAGGGAUCGGACGAUGUUAAUUUUUUAAUGACUCG
rnacentral:rRNA from 1 species